rnacentral:rRNA from 1 species
CAGCAGCCACGGGAAUACGAAGGGGGCUAGCGUUGCUCGGAAUGACUGGGCGUAAAGGGCGCGUAGGCGGUUUUGACAGUCAGAUGUGAAAUUCCUGGGCUUAACCUGGGGGCUGCAUUUGAGACGUCAAGACUAGAGUGUGAGAGAGGGUUGUGGAAUUCCCAGUGUAGAGGUGAAAUUCGUAGAUAUUGGGGAGAACACCGGUGGCGAAGGCGGCACCUGGCUCAUUACUGACGCUGAGGCGCGAAAGCGUGGGGAACAAACAGGAUUAGAUACCCCCGUAGUCCCUGUCUCUUAUACC